CCUAGGGAGGCAGCAGUGGGGAAUAUUGCACAAUGGGGGAAACCCUGAUGCAGCGACGCCGCGUGAGCGAUGAAGUAUUUCGGUAUGUAAAGCUCUAUCAGCCGGGAAGAAAAUGCCGGUACCUGACUAAGCAGCCCCUACUAACUACGUGCCAGCAGCCGCGGUAAUACGUAGGGGGCAAGCGUUAUCCGGAUUUACUGGGUGUAAAGGGAGCGUAGACGGCGGUGCAAGCCAGAUGUGAAAGCCCGGGGCUCAACCCCGGGACUGCAUUUGGAACUGUGCUGCUAGAGUGUCGGAGAGGCAGGCGGAAUUGCUAGUGUAGCGGGGAAAUGCGUAGAUAUUAGGAGGAACACCAGUGGCGAAGGCGGCCUGCUGGACGAUGACUGACGUUGAGGCUCGAAAGCGUGGGGAGCAAACAGGAUUAGAUACCCUAGUAGUC
rnacentral:rRNA from 1 species